GUGGGGAAUUGUUCACAAUGGGCGCAAGCCUGAUGACGCAACGCCGCGUGGGGGAUGAAGGCCUUCGGGUCGUAAACCCCUGUCGAAUGGGACGAAUAACUUCCGGAUUAAUACCCCGGAGGAAUGACGGUACCGUUAAAGGAAGCCACGGCUAACUCUGUGCCAGCAGCCGCGGUAAUACAGAGGUGGCAAGCGUUGUUCGGAAUUACUGGGCGUAAAGGGCGCGUAGGCGGCCAUCUAAGUCAGACGUGAAAUCCCCCGGCUUAACCUGGGAACUGCGUCUGAUACUGGACGGCUUGAGUAUGGGAGAGGGAUGUAGAAUUCCAGGUGUAGCGGUGAAAUGCGUAGAUAUCUGGAGGAAUACCGGUGGCGAAGGCGGCAUCCUGGACCAUUACUGACGCUGAGGCGCGAAAGCUAGGGGAGCAAA
rnacentral:rRNA from 1 species